UACAGAGGGUGCAAGCGUUAAUCGGAAUUACUGGGCGUAAAGCGUGCGCAGGCGGUUUUGUAAGUCUGUCGUGAAAUCCCCGGGCUCAACCUGGGAACUGCGUCUGAUACUGGAUGGCUUGAAUCCGGGAGAGGGAUGCAGAAUUCCAGGUGUAGCGGUGAAAUGCGUAGAUAUCUGGAGGAAUACCGGUGGCGAAGGCGGCAUCCUGGACCGGCAUUGACGCUGAGGAGCGAAAGCUAGGGGAGCAAACAGG
rnacentral:rRNA from 1 species